rnacentral:tRNA from 1 species
AUGGACGUAGUUCAAUGGUAGAACAUCGGUCUCCAAAACCGAGUACGUGGGUUCGAUUCCUACCGUCCGUGC